AAUAAUUUACAAUAUCCAUUUGCUUCUCAAAUAAUAUUGCUUUAAUUCAAAUAUUAAAUGAUUCAAAUUUAUGGUGCUCCAAAACAUUCAUUUGCUUCUAUAAAAGUACUGCCAAAAGAGAGCCUUGCAACCCACAGAAAUUCCGAAGGACGACAUAACAUAGAGAAGGAAAAAAGGCCGUCAUGGCAAUAUUCAACAAGAACGCAAGUGCCCAGUGCUUGUUGGCUCUUGUGCUCAUCGCUACUGUCAUUUCGUCUUGCGAUGCGUUUGGCCCAGAAGGAGGAUGUUUCAUGCCUUUCCUGAGUUGCAAUCUGGACUUAUGCAGGCAUGACUGCAACGGUUUAUUUGCCUCUUGCCAAAUGAUAGGCGAGUUUCACCACCGAUGUUGUUGCGCACCCAAGAAACUCAGUGCAUCUGUUGAUAAGAAUAGUCAUCCUUGAGAUAUGCAUUCCGAAAUUGCAGUUUAUAUGGCACUGCUUUUUCCUGGAUCCAACUCUGCCUGAUUGAAUAAAAUUUAUUGCCAUUGAAAAAA